AAUUAGGCUAGAAACAAGGAAAGAGCUACGAUUUUGGGAGGAGAAAAAGGCAGCCCAAAACGUUACCAAACAGUCCCUAAGUUUCAGCUGCGCUAAAGGAAAUUCCGAGGCAAGUUUUGGCGAGUUGUGGUGAAUUUCGGGAAAGGUUCAAGAGACGACGAGGCGAGCAUAGUUAAGAGUAAUCCGUAAGAGGUACAGAUGAUUGGUUUGCUGAUCCGCUCGCUUAGGACAUCCACCAUGUUGGUCGACAGUGCUCCUUUGUUCGGAGUCCUAUUUUGGUACUGGCACUUUUUGUUGUAUAUAUAUAUAUAUACGUUGUUCAGGGUACAACGGGGCCCUGUCCCGUCAUAUGACUAUGAUAUCAGUCUGUAGAGGUCUGUAGACAUGAGA